GAAGCUUGCUGCAAAGUAACAGCAUUAAACACUUUGGGAUUAUACAAUGGAAAACAACAGCUGCACUGCCAGUAGCAAUACAUCAAUAAUGUAAAUCUACCUCCAGCCUGCCAACCCCAGUGAGUACCAAGUAUAAAGGUGGUGAGAAAAGAGAAAAGAAUAUCAUAGUGUCACUGAGUUAUACUGCCUGAACAAAUGAACAUUCAAGUAUGCCUCCAUGAGACUUUGAAUCUCAGCCAAUAUCAGUUUGACACAGAUUUGAAAUUUUCCUGUUCAUGUUUAGACUUUUGAGACAGCAGAUGCAGAGUUAAUCCCACUACAGAUGGCCUAUUCUGAUCAAUUCAGUGUCAUCAGACAGACAUUUACUUAAUGAAACCCCCUACCUGCUAGGGAGCCUUAAAAGGAUUAAGAGUUUAAUCCCAGUCAAAUCUCCUACCUAACAGGACAGCAGCAAUUAAUCCCAUUAUCAAACAGGUUUAUCAUGCUAAGGCACCUGCUCCUGAUUAGCAAUACCAUGUGCUUGCCACAAAUCUUCAAUAUAAGGCAAGGCUGAGUAUAGCAUUGAUAAAGACACUAGCUCCAAGGGACAGAAGCUUUCAACAUGAGUGGCACAGACAAUGGGUCUGUUUCUACAUACUCACAGAGAACUUCAGCAAGGCAACGAUCCAACAGCAUUAGCAUAGAUCCUAUGCCCAGCAUUCCUGAGUACCCAGGCUACCAAGACCUCAAGUCUGCAAGGUGUUUACCAGGAAGACUUCAUUCCAGCCCAGCUCUCAACACUUCCAGCUGGAAGAAAAACACAUCCCCAAAAUCUGAGAACAGAGUAGCCAUUCAAUCCCUUGUUCAAUGGAGUCUCCAAUUCCAAAGCAUUGCAGGAUUGGCUGGCGAUCGCACACUUCUAAACUCCAAUGGAAACACAGGACAAUUCCAUGACAAGACUCUGGAAGAUUACUUCAAUGAGAGACUCCAACAGCUCAAACACAGCAACCUGCAACACACAGCCCAUGGUAAACAUUCCCAAUGACCUGCUACAACAAUAGUCUUGCACUAGGAAAUCUGAAGUGCUUCCAGACUGCACAGGAGGGAAAAUUCACACUGCAAGAGCCACUAUUGGAUUUUAUCAUGCAUGAUCCCAGCCAUAAUCUGGAAAUAUAAUUUCCAGAUAUCUUUAAUGUUAGACUCUCUCCCACUUCAGAGCUAGUGAAUUAAAUCCAAAAUUACUCUAUUCAGUCAUCCCAUUUCCCAAGCUUCAAUCAGUAGCAAAAACCUGGAUACAUAGUUGUGUUUUUUUUUUCCUGCUUAGUGCCAAAAGAACAAAAGUACAGCACAGGAACAGGUCCUUCAGCCCCAAGCCUGUACCAAUCAUUAUGCCCUAACUAAACAAAAAACAAACCAAGCCUUCUGCCCCAUGCAGUGUUUCCACCACUACUUAUGGCAGUGCAUUUCAGGCUCCUACCACACUCUACAUGAAAAAUUUCCUGACAUCUCCCUAAGUUUCUUUCCUCUCAUUUUGAACCUGUGCCUCCUUUAUAAUUGAAACUUCAACCCAGGGGGGAAAAGCCUCCACCUAUCCACGCCUAUCCAUUUUUAUAGAUGUCUACCAGGUCUCCCCUCAGUCACUGUCUUUCUGGUUGAAAACAAUCUUAGUCUUUUUAACCUUUCCUCAGGCAAUGCCCUCAACUGGCAAAAUCCUGGUGAACAUUCUCUGUACUCUCUCCAAAGCUUCCAAGUCCUUUAUGGUAGUGUCAUUCAACUAUAAGCUGAGAUCCAGACCAUGUUUUUGCUGCAGCCAGCACAAAAUACAUUACAGUAGGACCACAGAUCAUGGAAUAAGUGACUUUUGCCAAGUGAACUGCAGAUUCCUUCAUGCAUUAAGUGAUCUUUACAGACACAAAUGUAGACAUGAUGAUUUCUAGUUUUAAUGGCAGAGUUACUGUCACUAUAACAAACUGAUUGUACUCCACUGUAUAUUUUAGCAUACUUCAGUAAUGGCUAUGCUGAAAUGGGGACCUUGUAAAUAUGCAUGGAUUUUUUUUUGUCCUGAACACAACCCUAACAACUAAGAUAGCAGUUGGGAUCACUUUGCUCAAUGCCUCAUGAUCCAGUUAUUGCUUGGAAAUUAGCACACUGGCAAUUUCAAUUUCUUACCCUGCCCCAAAAAACUGAAGAAUGAGCUUAACCUUCUCAUAUUUUAAUGCUGUAAAAUGAAGGCAAAACUGUAUUAGAAAAAAUACAGUAAAAAGAAAGCAAGUGGGAGUGGAUGAGUGUUGGGCAAGAGCCCACAUGCAGCCCUGCUACUCUGCUGUCAUCUUGGUGCUGUGCCACUGAACUGACAGCAGGAAUCAAAGUGAUAAGCUUAUUAGCUGGAAGUUAAAAUAGAUUUUGUUAACCUAUGUAGCACUUACUGUGUUUAACCACCAUGAAGUGUAUUGACUAAGUUAUUAAAAAAUAAAGAUUUAAUAGAAUACUGUUUUCAUUAGACUUGAUCAGCACCCAGUACAGAACAUAAGGCUAAAGGAAAAUGCAUAAGAUCAAAAGGGAUUUCACCCGUCAGCAACACUAU